UGCGACACAGCCCUCAUGUCGACCCCUUUGCUGGGCAGGACUGGCUCCCAGGCAUGGCCUCAGCGAAUUCAUGGUCUCCGACCAGCAUUUCCCCACCAUGCGCUGUGCAGAGAUGGUAGCCCCACUUUCCUGCGGGUAAACUGAGACCCAGAGUGAGUGCCAUGUAACUAAGGAGCGCAGUCGGAACUGGAAACCAAGUGUCCCACACGCACCAGGGAAAAGGGGAAGGCCCAUACAGAGUGCAUUACUGGGCAGGUGACAGAAUGUGCAACUGAAGCUCCGUGUCACUGGGGGCCACCUGGGAAAUCAUGGGGGACAUGCCUCCGACGUCCGUGCCAAUCCACCAGUUCCUGUCCCUGCCGGCUGAAGGUUGCCCUUGGCGGAGAGCCAGUGCUGCUCUGGGAGGAAUCUUGGAGGCAGACAGGAAGACAGAAGAGGCAGGUGCCAAGGGUGGGCCUUGGCUCUCUGGGCCUCGAUUCUUCAGAUCUGGCCAUAAGGAGCUGCCAACGCUCAACCAGUCUGGGCCCACAGAAGGGGACAUUUCUUCUCGCUCGAACUGAACCAUUGGCUGUUCAUCUAAGUACCAACCUUGAUUUUUCUUCUUGGUUUGCAAAAUGUGAAAUAUUUACUACCUGGCCCUUUCCAGAAACCUCCAGACCCUUGCUCUAGAUUAAAAGAAACUAAAGAAGAAGGAAAACAGUGUAAAGAGCAAAACAACUCAAGGCAACGGGGAGCUUUAAUGUGAUCCUUGUUUGGGAGAGAAGACAGACAGAAAAAGACAUUCUUGGAACAAUGGAGGAA